GCCCCGGUAGCAUAGCUCGGUCUAUUGCGUCCGCCUCGUAAUCUCGGGAUAGCGGGAGAUCGAGGGUUCAAAUCCCUCUCGGGGCU
rnacentral:tRNA from 1 species